rnacentral:rRNA from 1 species
AACGAACGCUGGCGGCAUGCCUAACACAUGCAAGUCGAACGAUCCCUUCGGGGAUAGUGGCGCACGGGUGCGUAACGCGUGGGAACCUGCCCUUAGGUUCGGAAUAACUCAGAGAAAUUUGAGCUAAUACCGGAUAAUGUCUUCGGACCAAAGAUUUAUCGCCUUUGGAUGGGCCCGCGUUGGAUUAGCUAGUUGGUGGGGUAAAGGCCUACCAAGGCGACGAUCCAUAGCUGGUCUGAGAGGAUGAUCAGCCACACUGGGACCGAGACACGGCCCAGACUCCUACGGGAGGCAGCAGUGGGGAAUAUUGGACAAUGGGCGAAAGCCUGAUCCAGCAAUGCCGCGUGAGUGAUGAAGGCCUUAGGGUUGUAAAGCUCUUUUACCCGGGAUGAUAAUGACAGUACCGGGAGAAUAAGCCCCGGCUAACUCCGUG